rnacentral:rRNA from 1 species
UAGUGGCAGACGGGUGAGUAACGCGUGGGAACGUGCCUUUCACUACGGAAUAGCUCUUGGAAACGAGUGGUAAUACCGUAUACGCCCUCCGGGGGAAAGAUUUAUCGGUGAAAGAUCGGCCCGCGUUAGAUUAGCUUGUUGGUGAGGUAAUGGCUCACCAAGGCGACGAUCUAUAGCUGGUCUGAGAGGAUGAUCAGCCACACUGGGACUGAGACACGGCCCAGACUCCUACGGGAGGCAGCAGUGGGGAAUAUUGCACAAUGGGGGAAACCCUGAUGCAGCCAUGCCGCGUGUGUGAAGAAGGCCUUCGGGUUGUAAAGCACUUUCAGUUGUGAGGAAAGUUUGAUGGUUAAUACCCAUUAGAUGUGACGUUAACAACAGAAGAAGGACCGGCUAACUCCGUGCCAGCAGCCGCGGUAAUACGGAGGGUCCGAGCGUUAAUCGGAAUUACUGGGCGUAAAGCGCACGCAGGCGGUUUGUUAAGCUAGAUGUGAAAGCCCCGGGCUCAACCUGGGAAUAGCAUUUAGAACUGGCAGACUAGAGUCUUGGAGAGGGGAGUGGAAUUUCCUGUGUAGCGGUGAAAUGCGUAGAUAUAGGAAGGAACAUCAGUG